GGAAAGGUAGAUUAAUCCUUCACAGUUGUUAAACAGUGUUACUGUUUUAGUUCAGAUUUUAAAAUGUACUUUUAUUCUUUAAAAAAACAUUUUUCCAAAAUUAAUUUUCCUCCAAAUAUAUCUUAAUUUAUUUCAGUGUUAUGUGGGAGGGAGAAAUAACUAUCAGAAUGAUUAAUAGGAUGAACAUCAUCAUGUAAAAAUUAUUUCAUCCCAUUAAUUAUUAUUAUGACAUACAUUUUGAUUUCUAAAAUGUUUCAUUGUUUUACUACCAAUAACCUGAAUGUGUCGAGCCAAACUCCUACACACACACACACACACCUGCACCCCACAGCCGUUAUUAGCCUCCCACGCUGACAUACCUGCAGUCUCAUUCUAUCAAGCACUCAACCAAUCAAAAAAAAAGUCUAUUAAUCACAUAAAUCCCAAAUUAUCACAUAACAUUGUUUGAUUUCAGACUUUCAACUUUUCAUUUCAUUACAAGACUAUUUAAACCCAUCUGACCUUGUAUUUUACAGAAGAACUGUUUAACCUAAUUUUUAGAGUUGUGAUAAAGAAGUCACGACUGACUUUGAGCAGAAACUUCAAUUCAAUGAGAAGUCCAAGCUGCUAUAGUUGGUCUAAAAUUGGCCUUCUUUACCUUGAUAUGGUGGCAUAAAGAGCGUUAACAGAUGUACCGUAAAUCCUCUAAUAUUAGUCUGUAUUUAAUUAACUGCUGGGUAUCGUAUUUUGGCCAGUGUCAGAGUCGGCGGAGGUGAAUAAUGGCCGUUUUUUUAUUGUGGCCGGGUGGAAUGUGGAAACAAGCAACUACGGGGGGUGGGGGGUUGUCAUCCGUCUCACUUUUGAUUUGUCAGUGAUAGACCGCGAGGGUAACUUUAACCGUGGGGAGACGAAGAGGAGGCGAAAAUUUAAUAUCAAGUUCAAAGAGAACGUGCUGAUUAUGCUGCAGAACACUCUGGGGAGCAGUAGUAGGGGUUGUAUGAACUAGUCACUAGUCGACUUCACCGCUCUAUAGUGACUUUUUAUGCCUGUCAUCGACUAGUCGCUGUCACGUGAUAAUGACCGGCAAAAUGCAGUCCACGGAAAAGACAGCAACCUGUUGUCAGCAGGUGACAAGCUCCUGCGCGUCGGGAGGCAAUGCGCUGUACCAGAGCGUCGGUACUGACACCCGCCGUAAAACGGACAUUUAACCAAAUUGUGACGUUUACCCUCUUGCAAUUUAACCUUCCCCUCACCCCCAUCCUAACCUUAACCAGCUUGCGCAUGCAAAGCUCUGAUUGUUGACGCGCUCCAGACAUAUGCGUCCUGAGCACGGCCACAGUAACAUUAUCAAAUCAGGUGUCGCCACCUCAAAAACUAAUUCAACACGCGAACGUUCAUGUCGGCUCAUUUCCUUUUAUGUUUUCUGUUUUUUAGUCUUUUAUUUGUGCCUGAUGCGUUUCGCUGCUGUGGAUUGGGGCGCAUCACCUGUUUUGUCCUCGGUGACGCACCGAUCACUGAUGCGACCGGCGAGCACUCCGCUGUUUUUGCGGUCGGUAGAUCUUUUAGAACUGCAGUUCAAAGGUAACUCAUAAGGUGAAUAUAUAUGAACCCAGGUAGCAGUUUUUCUUUAGGAUUGAGAGGAGAUGCAGGAAGAUAAUAAACAGGCAGGACAGAAAAAUAGUCAAAUAAAAACAAGUUAGUUUUUGUACCUGGUGGUUGCAACAAACAAACACCAUCGAAGGUAAUCAGAAGUGAGGAACAGAAAAUGAAAUAAUUAUUUUAAUGUUUAGAGCAGCAGGAACUCCGAGAGGCUGCAGGCGCAUCAGUGAGUUUGCGGCCGCUGCGCAGGGGGAGGGGGGAGAGGGCUGAAGCAGAAACUACCGUUGUUAAAAGAAAUGUGUUUAACUUUGAAAAUGUGGGCGCAAAUUUAACUGUCAAAAACUCCAGCGAACCAUUAGUUCAUUUUGCUCAAAUAGAAAUUGAGGCCUGCCUCUAAUUCUGGUCCUCCUUCCAAUAAAGGCCUGGAGCUUGAUGAGCUUGUAUCCUGUAUUAGAGGAUUUACGGUAUUAGUAUAUGCAAAUAGGCAAUUCAUAGCACCAACUUAAGUAUAAGUAAGGAUAAAACAAACUUUUAUUGCACAGGGCAGCUUUUUGCUUUUACUCUUUUUAACAUUUGGAAAUGAAAGAGGCCUAGUUAUUAUUGUGCAAACCCAGGAAAGUUUUGUUUACAUGUAUUUCCCACAGAAAGUUCAGCUUACACUAACUUUUGAAGUCUCUAAAGGUUUCUGCUUAUUGCAAACAAGCACCUUCCUUUUACUACACAUAAAUCAUUCACCAGAACAGACAGUUUUGUCUGCCAGUGCAACAUAACAUGGUUUCCUCCCCUCUUAGUGCAGAGUGCACACACAAGCUUUCAUAAAAUAAACUCAGUGUUGACCUUAUCUUUCUGGAUACUGGAAAUUAAAUGUCUGCAUAAAACAACACAAGCAUGCAACAAUUCACACCAAUUCCUCCCAAUGCUCACUGUUUAAGCCUCUGUUUUAGUAAAACUGAAAUGUGACAAGGUGCAGGAAACACAAGUGUGCAAUCAGCUUAAAUGCCUCAUUCACUAGUUUUUAAAUAAAUCUACUGAGGUGUGAAUUUAUGAGUCAAUUUCUGUGGGAAAAAUAGUUCUGGGGCUCCUGCUUCAGAGGGUGGAGGUUUGUCGGAGGAGUGGGGAGCAGAAAACGUCAGGAUUAUGAGUCUCGCUCAAUAAUAUUCACAACAUUCAAACAUCUCUCCUCUGCUGGCGAAUUGCAACGCAACUCUUCUACUGCCUUCAUUAUAAAACUCAGAAUAUAAAACAUAUUUUCUUGAGUGAAAAAUGUAAUGUUGAUGUUUUAUCUCCACAUAACACAAGCCUGAAGGAGUUCUGCCAUGUUGUGGAGUAGCUGGUGCUAAAGCUUAGCUUCUGCUAGCCAAGACGUGCUCUGCUUUCACCCUUUCGUGAUUGCACGCCAAGAUGGCUAAAGCAGCAAAUGGGGCUGAAGAAAAUUUUUAUGUUCAGCAUCCAUCUGAAACUUUAAAUCCCAGUUUCAUCCUGACCUACUGGCGAAUUCCCCCCGUACUUCAUCCAUCUGAGAGCCAAACUGUGAAUGAAGCGUGAGUAAACAAGCGUUGCAUUGCCAGAAGACAGUGAAUUGUUUUCCUUACUCCUGUGCAUUUCAAUGAGAUGCUCCUCGGGAUUUGCGUUGGAGUGGGACAGUCAUGCCAGUUGGGGGUUUGUUCACACACAAUGUGCUCACAGGCCACUGAGUACCGUUAGCAUCAGCCCUCUGUGAGGGUUAUCUCUGGCUAGUUUACAGAAAAUCUACAUUUUAGUUUCUGUCUUUGUCGCUUAAGAUGUAGAAGAUGGAUGACUGUAUGCAAAUACUGACAGGAAAAUCUCCUCACACAGGAACCGUCGGCAAUCUGCUCCACUCCUCUAUGCACAAAGACCCAGAGAUAUUUGAGCUUGUCUGCCUCUUUUUUUUUAAAACUUGACAUGCUGUCCUAACAAAUAAAUAAUUUAGAUCCUGGAACACAAAGCUCUUAUUUGUUUUAUGCAAUGCUUUUAGAGAAGACGUUGUAGAAGAAGCUAAUUAUUUUCUACCUUAAAGUGACAGUGUGUAUUUUCCCUGGCGAUAGGGUCAGUACAUACCUAAAUCACUGCAAGCAAGCAUUAUUUUUAUGUUCAAAUAAAACCUUUCUAUGGAUGGCCAUUAGGGUCAAAAAUCCCUGGGAGUGCAACCUCCAGCAAAAUAACAAGAGCAUCAGACUCCCUUUCAUCACUGGCAACGAGUGAAGAAAUAAAUGUGUAAAACAACAAUGUUAAUUAAUGGUGAAGGUUUUGUAACCAUUUGUUACAAAUCAGUAAAUGCAUUUUGUCCUCGCAGACUUCCGUAGAGGAAACGUGGCAUCCAAUAUGGCGUCGCCCAGAGACUUAGACCCGCUCCGUGUAUUUUAGAACAGAUUUUUAUGGUUAUAUGUUAUGAAACUGCCAAUAUUUUUCAAAAACUUGACAUCUUUUAAUUAAUUUACAACAACAUUUUGAUCUAUAUUUCCAGAGAUUAAUGGUGAAAAUUACACAUUGUCACUUUAAAGGUGCAUUAUUUAAUGAAUGAAGGAGACACUCUGUGGUGUAACUUGGGUACUGCAGCCCCUUUUCUAAACACACAAGUGACAAUCUCACAUUGUGUGAGUUUCAUUGCUAUUGCCAGAAUUAGCACCAGAAGAUUCUAGAUGACAAUCAAAGACGGGUCAAACACAGUAAGUUCUUGAGUAGAUAAAUACGUUUCACUGUAUAUGGAGUGUUGGUCAUUGAAAAAUUUGCUUGACAUAUCUCUAGAGCUGACUGUUUACCCUUCUUUAUUCCAGGGGGUCCAUAUAGUGUCCUGCUUUACCCUCUGUGGAUAGAGCAGAUAAAGUAGUCGGCCACUAUAUGGGGACAUUAUUUACCAUUUCUAAUAAAGCAGCCAGUGCUGAUGUACCUUUAUAGUAGAGCUUAUUUAAAGUCAGGCACAUCUGUGGGCCACCUGAUGCUUCUGCCCAAUUUAACUUUCAUCCUUGAAAAACACCGGCUUUAUAAAUGCAUUAAACACUGUUAUCUUCUUUACCUGUUUGUCAGCUUGUUUGAUUACCUUUGGUAAAAUGCCAAGCAUUAAUACUGAGCAGUGUACAAAAUUACGAUUUAACCGUUGGUUGGUGGGAA